rnacentral:rRNA from 1 species
AUUGAACGCUGGCGGCAUGCCUUACACAUGCAAGUCGAACGGCAGCACGGGUGCUUGCACCUGGUGGCGAGUGGCGAACGGGUGAGUAAUACAUCGGAACAUGUCCUGUAGUGGGGGAUAGCCCGGCGAAAGCCGGAUUAAUACCGCAUACGAUCUACGGAUGAAAGCGGGGGACCUUCGGGCCUCGCGCUAUAGGGUUGGCCGAUGGCUGAUUAGCUAGUUGGUGGGGGAAAGGCCUACCAAGGCGACGAUCAGUAGCUGGUCUGAGAGGACGACCAGCCACACUGGGACUGAGACACGGCCCCGACUCCUACGGGAGGCCGCAGUGGGGAAUUUUGGACAAUGGGGGAAAGCCUGCUCCAGCAAUGCCGCGUGUGUGAAGAAGGCCUUCGGGUUGUUAAGCACUUUUGUCCGGAAAGAAAUCCUUGGCCCUAAUACGGUCGGGGGAUGGCGGUACCGGAAGAAUAAGCACCGGCUAACUACGUG